rnacentral:snoRNA from 1 species
AAGAAUUCCUCAGAAAAUUCUGUAUAAAAAUAAAAAGGGAACAUCUUCCCCAAGAAGGAGGGGCAGUUUCUCUCCUGAGUGUGAAACCGGUUCUCGGUACUGCUUCACCACAGAUGCCAUUUGCCAUUGAUGACCGUUGUUUUCUCCCCUUGGAGGAGUAUAAGCAAGGGGA